rnacentral:rRNA from 1 species
CGUGCAGCCGGGAAUGCAAGUCAGAUGUGAAAUCCAUGGGCUUAACCCAUGAACUGCAUUUGAAACUGUAUUUCUUGAGUACUGGAGAGGCAAUCGGAAUUCCUAGUGUAGCGGUGAAAUGCGUAGAUAUUAGGAGGAGCACCAGUGGCGAAGGCGGAUUGCUGGACAGCAACUGACGGUGAGGCGCGAAAGUGUGGGGAGCAAACA